AACACUGGCCAAAGCUGGCAUUUAUAUUUGUUUGUGUGUUAAAAAUGCAAAAAAAACAAUUAUGAAUGCUAAAUUUGGCCAGUGUUUGU